CAUAAAAAGGUCAGAUUGCACUUCAGCACAAGAUGAAGGGACCAAAUACGAAAAUUACCCAUUAGGGCAAGAAUGCGCAGAUCCCCUUCCCUCAAACGGCGCCGUUUUACAAUCACCAUAAAAUCUACAAAUUUUGGUUAUUUUUUUGCUGUUUGUUUUCUUUUCUUUUUAAAAACUUAAAAUCACUUUCUUUCUCUGCUAGGGUUUCAACCCAGCUUUAGUGCCGCCGUCAGUCCCUCGCAUCUCCACCAUGGCUCCACCGCGGAUUGUGGCCGGAUUUGUGCAACACAGGGCCUUUUAACCCGGCUUCUCACGUUUUGAGGGCCUAACAUCCUCACUCUCGAAAAAUGGAAAGAAAAUAAUAAAAAAGGGUCUCCCCUCGUCCCUUUAUACUCUGUUCCGGCGACGGAGAAGAGGUCUCCGACACCGAGACCGUGAUACGCCCAAGUGUCAGAGGCAUGGCAGAGGUUGUGAUAGGCCAACGGCGGCGGUGGCUGGUAGCAGGAGGAGCGGCAGAGGCGCGGAAGGCAUGCGAGGAGGCUGGCGGCUGAAGAGAGUUAGGGAGGCUAGGGUUUGCUACUGAAUUUUUUUUAGUUUGUGGACUAUUAGGUUUUUAAAAUUCUGGGCCUGUUGGGUUUAGGGUUAAUUUUGGGUAAUGGGCUGAAUUGAUUUGGGUUGUUCUGGUUUAAUGUAAAUGGACUGUUUAUUAAUUUUGGUUGUGGUAUUAUUGGGCCCCGGGCGAAAAUGGGCCACUACAGUGACUAUUGGGAAAGUUAUUAAAAGUUAUAUUCAUUUAAUUUCAAUUAAACAAACUUACUACUAGUUAUAAAGACAAA